UUGGAGUGGAGAUCUAUCAGAGGCUGCUUUUGAGAGUAAAACAAACACUAAUUAGCCAACACCCAGCUUUAGGUUGAAAAGACAAACUGGAGCACAUAGCUUAAACUUCCAGAAGAUUGCAUGCAUAGACACGAUCACAUUCACAUACAAAAGAUAUGCGCAAGCAAAAUAAAUUUUAUGGAAUCAUAUUAUGGGGGUGAGAAAUUCAGUCUGGCAUUGAAUUGAACAUGUAAUUCUCCCCCCCUGGUACAAUAGUAAACCGCAUCAAAUCAAUGGACCCUUCUUGGGGCUGCUGCAUUGUAGCGCCAAGAUCAAUUGGAUUUACGUUCUUAGCUUAAAUAUAUAUCGUAACCCACAAUUUUUGAUCUCAUGAAAAUCAAAUACUAAACUAAAAGCCUUGCCUCAUGGAAACCAGAAUUGUUUGUUUUACUUG
rnacentral:misc_RNA from 1 species